rfam:Aedes albopictus isolate Foshan contig57562, whole genome shotgun sequence.
UGUUUUGUGGCGGAGUUGGUUAACGCGCCAUGUCUAGCGAACUUGGGGAGACGUGGGUUCAAAUCCCACCAGAACUA